AUACGUAGGGGGCGAGCGUUGUCCGGAAUGAUUGGGUUUAAAGGGCGCGUAGGCGGCGCGGUAAGUCUGGAGUGAAAGUCCUGCUUUCAAGGUGGGAAUUGCUUUGGAUACUGCCGCGCUUGAGUGCAGGAGAGGUUAUCGGAAUUCCCGGUGUAGCGGUGAAAUGCGUAGAGAUUGGGAGGAACACCAGUGGCGAAGGCGACUUACUGGACUGUAACUGACACUGAGGCGCGAAAGUGUGGGGAGCAAACAGGAUUAGAUACCCUGGUAGUCCACACUGUAAACGAUGAAUGCUAGGUGUAGGGGGUAUCGACCCCUUCUGUGCCGCAGUCAACACAAUAAGCAUUCCGCCUGGGGAGUACGGCCGCAAGGUUGAAACUCAAAUGAAUUGACGGGG
rnacentral:rRNA from 1 species